GAAAGAGCCAAGAGGAAUUCUUCUCUCCCCUGAUGAGUCCAGUUUCUUCUGCUGUUACUUACAGCCAUCUAUGUCAUGUUAGAGGAGGUUUGUUAGGGAUGAGAAAAGGCAUAAUUUUGAGAGACAAUCCACAAUUGCUUGUGGACAUUUGGAACUAAGAUAUGCCAUUGGGCCUGUGGAGUGAAGAGCAACCAGACAUUUCAAGGGAGAAAUAAUGGCGAUGUGAGCAUCCAAACAGAACCUCGUCUGAUGCAAGAGACACGAACCCAAUAAAAAUGUGCUUUACCCUUCAUUUCUCUAGAGUUCACAAAUCUGAGCAGGUUUAAACUCAGACCAGGUUUUGAUCUCAGUGUGCAGCCUGAGCAUAUGUCACAGAACUGCUGAAGUGGAUGAUGAACACAUAUCUGCUACCUGCACAUCAGGUGGAGAAGGGAGACCCAUGAUGUUUCUCUUCACCCAGUAAUUAUGAGUAUACAGAGAAAAUGUGAUCAUUUCUGGAGAGGACCCACCUCACUGCCUC
rnacentral:lncRNA from 1 species